GGGGACGUAGCUCAAUUGGGAGAGCGCCUGGUUUGCAACCAGGAGGUUGAGGGUUCGAUCCCCUUCGUCUCCA
rfam:Singulisphaera acidiphila DSM 18658, complete genome.